AACAAGUUGGGGAGUGUCCUUUCCAACUGACUCUGGUCUAAUCCUCUUCCAGGCUGUUACUUUUGAGUAACAUGGGGAGUGCUCAUAGGAUUUGUCACAGAAGCCUUCCAUGAUCCUCUUUCUCAACUCCAAUGAAGACCUGCCUGACAGCAAUCCCUGGACUCCCUGGAAAAAAAUGGGCUACACAUCCUCGAGUGCACUGGAUCCAACUUGCUCCAUUUUAACUGACACUCUGGCCAGAGGUUCGGGUACUGACUUCAAUCAAGUUGAUGAUUUCAAGUGAGAUCUUCAAUCAAGAGAAUCCCAUCUAGCAUGGACUGGAUACAAUCCAUUCAAGACUUUCACUAUACUAACAUUUUCUUCCUACAGGACCCCACAAGGCUAUCAUCGUCCUAUUUCAGCAGGAAGUAACUUGGAGGAUGCUACGACCCCUUUCCCCAUUGUUGUCACUUAGGACAGUGUAUAUACCUAUUUAGGGAUAGCUUCCUAUUGUUUAUGGUUGGGAUUGGAAGGAGGUGUUCAGGCUUGGACACCUCUUUCAGAUGACUUUAGGGUUUAGUUAAAAUAGAUAGUUAGGAUGUGACAUAAGCAGAUUGUUGUAUCUUCUUAUAUUUUACCUUUAUGAUGGUUAAUUUUGGAUACUUUACACUGUUAAGUUUUAAUCCUCUUUUAGACUAAAAGGGGAAUUGCAGGGGAAGCUGUAGCCACGCCUACUUAGGGGCUGGCUACAAGAGUGCCUGAC
rnacentral:lncRNA from 1 species